AUUGAACGCUGGCGGCAGGCCUAACACAUGCAAGUCGAGCGGAGCGGCGGACGGGUGAGUAAUGCCUGGGAAUCUGCCUGGUAGUGGGGGAUAACGUCCGGAAACGGGCGCUAAUACCGCAUACUAUCAGAUGAGCCUAGGUCGGCUUAGCUAGUUGGUGGGGUAAAGGCCUACCAAGGCGACGAUCCGUAACUGGUCUAAGAGGAUGAUCAGUCACACUGGAGCUGAGGCACUGUCCAGUCUCCUACGGUAGGCAGCAGUGGGGAAUAUUGGACAAUGGGCAAAAGCCUGAUCCAGACAUGACGCGUGUGUGAAGAAAGUCUUCGGAUUGUAAAGCACUUUAAGUUGGGAGGCGUUACCAACAGAAUGAGCACCGGCUAACUUCGUGCCAGCAGCCGCGGUAAUUC
rnacentral:rRNA from 1 species